UCUGACUCAAGCAUCAACAUUCUGACCACUAUACUUUAAGGAUUUACCUACUUUUCCAUACAUUGUUUUGUCCUUUUCCCAACUGGGUAUGUGGUAUGACCAGUGACACUAGCUCACGCUGUGGAAAUUCAGAAAGGAAUCCAGCGUACAAGCCAGCAACAACAGCAGUGUGCAGAUGCUGCUUAGCAGCAGACAAAUGACUGACGCAUGGAGAAUCCUGGUUGAAAAAGGCAUCACUGCCACAGGCUGCAGACAGAAUUACUCUCCCUGGGGAUCUCUUAGCACAGUGAGUAAUGAUCUGGUGACCCUGCAGGUCAGAGGGCUGACCUACCCAGGACAGGGACCAAGAGGCCAGGACAGGGAUGAUGGGGCAAAAGGUGUAGGUGACACUUCAAGCCCCUCAGCCUUUUGUUGGAGACACCACCUCCACCACUCCACUGCCAGCUCCUUUGCUGAGGGACAGCAACAACAUCUGCUAGCUCCGAGAUUGAUUAAUUGGCUGAUCAGACGCCCGCGGUGUAAACUGAUUGAUUGAUCAUCUUGAGGUUGGAGCUGCCUUUAUCUAGAGCCCUGGGGAGCGAACCUCUGGAGGUCCCCAGUCAUCUGUCAUGUCCAACACACAGGGGAAGACGAAGGAGAGAUGAAGAGCUGGAGGUUCAUUACCGAGACAUGGGGGGCAUGUAUGAGGGAAGUCUAAGCCAAGAUUGGAACAGGGGGCAUGCCGAGAGAACAAUGGGAACAUGGGGACAAAAGAGGCUGUGGAUGAAAAUAAGAGAGGAUACUGUGGUGCUUGUAGAGAAAGAAAGAUAAAAACAUACAUGAAGGAAGAGGGAGGAAGGAUUGUGGAUAAGCCAAGAACAACAUUGUUACAAUUUUGUCCCUAAACAGAUGCAAACAAUUAAGAGGGCUUGCUUGUCAUGAUAAAACAGAGGCAGAAACUACGGUUUAAAGACUCUCAACCAUGAUUUAAAAAUUCUCAUAUUUAGAAAAAUGUUCUUAGCUUAUUUAAUUGAAAGGGAUUACUACUUAUUGUGGUUAUUUGUUGCUUAUUUUUCAGGAUCCAGGAGAUUUUUGUUUUUUUUGGACAUAGGCUACAACCUCCCCUCAUUUAUAAUUCCUGACCACAUCCCUGUUUAACAGCGAGCAGUGAGAGUAAUGGGAUACAGGGAGAAGGUGGUGGCAGAUGAAAACAAGUGUGGAUAAUACUAGCACGCAUUCAGUCAGACACAUAAAGCAGAGGCGGAAAAUUCCUUUAUUUGACGGCAGAGGACACAGUGAAUGACCAGAGAGUGGAGGGAGGCGUAUUCCCUUUGGACAACAGAUGUCCCUGGGGAGCAAAGUGAAUAAAAGAGAGAGAGAGAGAGAAUUGGUGGAAGAGAGAAGAGAGGUGGAACAACCUAUAGCAGGAAGAAGUAGAAGGGAAGGGAAGACAGCAGCAGAAGAGAUGCAGGGCAGAAAAGGGACAGCCUCAGGAUGUGUUACUGACAUUGGACCUUAUGGAUGACUCCAGCUGAAUAUGCCUGGCCUGUCUAUGUGCACGUACAUGCCUGGAUCCAUCUGCAUGUUAAAACCAUCCUAAUGUAUGUCAGGUGGUCUUCCUGGGCCUGAUGAAGCCGGGAGGGGGCCACAGUCCACCUUCAGCUUCUGUCUAUCAAGUGCAUGGAGCAGAUUCAGGGUCACCUCUAAACCACUAACCUCUUUAGCUGAAUGUAUGCCUUCUCUUCUUUCCUCUAUGCCCUACUUACCUUCCGUCACCAACAACUAACUUUGGGAGGGACGGACAGAAAAGAGCCAUUUUGAUGUUUUCUUGAAGCUUCAUGGCCCUUUUCACCUG